rnacentral:rRNA from 1 species
CCCUUAGAUGUUCUGGGCCGCACGCGCGCUACACUGACUGGUUCAACGAGUAUACAUCCUUGGCUCCGACAGGCCUGGGCAAUCUUUGAACGCCAGUCGUGAUGGGGACAGACUCCUGCAAUUUCUGGUCUCUAACGAGGAAUUCCUAGUAAACGCAAGUCAUCAACUUGCAUUGAUUACGUCCCUGCCCUUUGUACACACCGCCCGUCGCACCUACCGAUUGAAUGGUCCGGUGAAGCCUUUGGAUUCGGUGUGCUCCUGCUUCGUGCGGGUGCCACUGGAGAAGCUGGCUAAACCUUACCAUUUAGAGGAAGGUGAANUCGUANCA